GACAGAGGGUGCAAACGUUGUUCGGAAUUACUGGGCGUAAAGCGCGUGUAGGCUGCUUGGAAAGUCGGAUGUGAAAGCCCUGGGCUCAACCUAGGAAGUGCAUUCGAAACUUCUGAGCUGGAGUUCUGGAGAGGAAGGCGGAAUUCUCGGUGUAGAGGUGAAAUUCGUAGAUAUCGAGAGGAACACCGGUGGCGAAGGCGGCCUUCUGGACAGUGACUGACGCUGGAGACGCGAAAAGCG
rnacentral:rRNA from 1 species